UGGGGAAUCUUGGACAAUGGGCGCAAGCCUGAUCCAGCCAUGCCGCGUGGAUGAUGAAGGCCUUAGGGUUGUAAAAUCCUUUCGCCGAGGACGAUAAUGACGGUACUCGGAGAAGAAGCUCCGGCUAACUUCGUGCCAGCAGCCGCGGUAAUACGAAGGGGGCUAGCGUUGUUCGGAUUUACUGGGCGUAAAGCGCAUGUAGGCGGGCCGUUAAGUUAGGGGUGAAAUCCCGAGGCUCAACCUCGGAACUGCCUCUAAAACUGGCGACCUGGACUCAAGCAGAGGCAAGUGGAAUUGCGAGUGUAGAGGUGAAAUUCGUAGAUAUUCGCAGGAACACCAGUGGCGAAGGCGACUUGCUGGGCUUGUAGUGACGCUGAGACGCGAAAGCGUGGGGAGCAAACAGGAUUAGAUACCCGGGUAGUCCCUGAGCGGGCUGGCAAGGCGCAU
rnacentral:rRNA from 1 species